CGACAGGAUGCCAAUCCCAAAACCCUCUCUCAGUUCGGAUCGAAGUCUGCAACCCGACUUCGUGAAGCUGGAUUCGCUAGUAAUCGCGCAUCAGCCAUGGCGCGGUGAAUACGUUCCCGGGCCUUGUACACACCGCCCGUCACACCAUGGAAGUCUGCAAUGCCCGAAGCCGGUGGCCUAACCACUUAUGUGGAAGGAGCCGUCUAAGGCAGGGCAGAUGACUGGGGUGAAGUCGUAACAAGGUAGC
rnacentral:rRNA from 1 species